rnacentral:rRNA from 1 species
CUUGAACGCUGGCGGCAGGCUUAACACAUGCAAGUCGAACGAUGACUCUCUAGCUUGCUAGAGCAGAUUAGUGGCGGACGGGUGAGUAACAUUUAGGAAUCUGCCUAGUAGUGCGGGAUAGCUCGGGGAAACUCGAAUUUAUACUGCCUACGACCUACGGAGGAAAGGGGGCGCAAGCUCUUGACAUUAGAUGAGCCGAAAUCAGAUUAGCUAGUUGGUGGGGUAAAGGCCCACCAAGGCGACGAUCUGUAACUGGUCUGAGAGGAUGAUCAGUCACACCGGAACUGAGACACGGUCCGGACACCUACGGGAGGCAGCAGUGGGGAAUAUUGGACAAUGGGGGCAACCCUGAUCCAGCCAUGCCGCGUGUGUGAAGAAGGCCUUUUGGUUGUAAAGCACUUUAAGCAGGGAGGAGAGGCUAAUGGUUAAUACCCAUUAGAUUAGACGUUACCUGCAGAAUAAGCACCGGCUAACUCUGUGCCAGCAGCCGCGGUAAGAC